rnacentral:rRNA from 1 species
GACGAAGGUGGCGAGCGUUGUUCGGAAUCACUGGGCAUAAAGCGCACGUAGGCGGCGACGUAAGUUGGGUGUGAAAAUCCCUCGGCCCAACCGAGGAACUGCGCCCAGUACUGCGUUGCUUGAGGAUCCAAGGGGUGCAUGGAAUUCCCGGUGGAGCGGUGAAAUGCGUUGAUAUCGGGAGGAACUCCGGCGGCGAAAGCGGUGCACUGGUGGAUUUCUGACGCUGAGGUGCGAAAGCCAGGGGAGCAAACGGGG